rnacentral:rRNA from 1 species
UACGUAGGGUGCGAGCGUUAAUCGGAAUUACUGGGCGUAAAGCGUGCGUAGGCGGUUGGCAAAGUCAGCUGUGAAAGCCCCGGGCUUAACCUGGGAAUGGCGGUUGAAACUAGUCGACUCGAAUCUGGCAGAGGGGGGUGGAAUUCCACGUGUAGCAGUGAAAUGCGUAGAGAUGUGGAGGAACACCGAUGGCGAAGGCAGCCUCCUGGGCUAGUACUGACGCUCAUGCACGAAAGCGUGGGGAGCAAACAGG